rnacentral:SRP_RNA from 2 species
GCCGUAUGCGGUGGUGCGCGCCUGUAGUCCCAGCUACUCGGGAGGCUGAGGCUGGAGGAUAGCUUGAGCCCAGGAGUUCUGGGCUGCAGUGCACUUUGGAGAUAGGGUGUCCGCACUAAGUUUGGCAGCAAUACAGUGACCCUCUGGGAGCAGAGGACCACCAGGUUGGCAAAGAGGAGUGAACCGGCCCAGAUCAGAAACGGAGCAGGUCAAAACUCCCGUGCUGAUAAGGAAGAAAGAAAAGAAAGACUAGGCCAAAGACUCUUUCAGAGACAAUGGCUAGAAACUAGAUUACUGUUAU